rnacentral:rRNA from 1 species
UAAUACUCCAUAGAUUAGAGACACUGGAAUGUUCUUUAGUCGAAAGUUCUGGCGCCUUAGGAUGGAUCUGCGGUCGAUUAGGUUGUUGUUGGGGUAACGGCCCAACAAGCCUGUAAUCGAUACGGGUUGUGGGAGCAAGAGCCCGGAGAUGGAAUCUGAGACACGAUUCCAGGCCCUACGGGGCGCAGCAGGCGCGAAAACUUUACAAUGCAGGAAACUGUGAUAAGGGAACUCCGAGUGCCCGUAUACGCGGGCUGUCCAGGUGUUUAAAAAUCAUCUGAAGAAAGGGCCGGGCAAGACCGGUGCCAGCCGCCGCGGUAAUACCGGCGGCUCGAGUGGUGGCCACUAUUAUUGGGCUUAAAGCGUCCGUAGCUGGACCGAUAAGUCUCUUGGGAAAUCCGCCGGCUCAACCGGCGGGCGUCUAAGGGAUACUGUUAGUCUAGGGACCGGGAGAGGUGAGAGGUACUCCGGGGGUAGGAGUGAAAUCCUGUAAUCCCCGGGGGACCACCGAUGGCGAAGGCAUCUCACCAGAACGGCUCCGACAGUGAGGGACGAAAGCUGGGGGAGCGAACCGGAUUAAAUACCCGGGUAGUCCCAGCCGUUAACUAUGCGCGUUAGGUGU